rnacentral:rRNA from 108 species
CAACUUUCAGCAACGGAUCUCUUGGCUCUCGCAUCGAUGAAGAACGCAGCGAAAUGCGAUAAGUAAUGUGAAUUGCAGAAUUCAGUGAAUCAUCGAAUCUUUGAACGCACCUUGCGCUCCUUGGUAUUCCGAGGAGCAUGCCUGUUUGAGUGUCAUUAAU